GGAGCCAUUGCUUCUGCUUGAGCAGCACAAUCUGGUUCUGCAGCGAUCCAAAUUCGCUCCUCAUAAGCUGCUCGGAAUCCUGGAUUGCCUCCUCCCUCACGCCCUCUUCCUGAAGCCGCUGCCUCAACUUCUCCGUUGAGACGGCCACUUUAUCUAUCGGACGGCCACUUUAUCUAUCGGAGCCAUUAGUUCGCUGUUGGACAUGCGAGGGAACAUGUCCUUCACUGCCUGCAAUGCCUCCAUCCACGCCAAACGAUCCUCCCGCGUCUCCGCUCUCAAAUGGACCCUCUUUGUGCCGGUGAAUAUCGAGAACCUCUUAUCAUCUGAUCUGCUCUCACGGAUCGAUGACACCUUGAGAUGGAUUUCGCCGACUGGAUUGCGCUUGAGCUGAGUGUUACCAUUUUUAGGCCUCGAAAUCCUUCUCAUAGAUUCUUCCCCAAUGACUUUGGAUCCUUUCUCCGUCUCUCGAUUAACGACGAU
rnacentral:misc_RNA from 1 species